rnacentral:rRNA from 1 species
AGUGAACGCUGGCGGUAGGCCUAACACAUGCAAGUCGAACGGCAGCACAGUAAGAGCUUGCUCUUACGGGUGGCGGGUGGCGGACGGGUGAGGAAUACAUCGGAAUCUACUUUUUCGUGGGGGAUAACGUAGGGAAACUUACGCUAAUACCGCAUACGACCUACGGGUGAAAGCAGGGGAUCUUCGGACCUUGCGCGAUUGAAUGAGCCGAUGUCGGAUUAGCUAGUUGGCGGGGUAAAGGCCCACCAAGGCGACGAUCCGUAGCUGGUCUGAGAGGAUGAUCAGCCACACUGGAACUGAGACACGGCCCAGACUCCUACGGGAGGCAGCAGUGGGGAAUAUUGGACAAUGGGCGCAAGCCUGAUCCAGCCAUACCGCGUGGGUGAAGAAGGCCUUCGGGUUGUAAAGCCCUUUUGUUGGGAAAGAAAAGCAGCAGGUUAAUACCCCGCUGUUCUGACGGUACCCAAAGAAUAAGCACCGGCUAACUUCGUG